rnacentral:rRNA from 1 species
GAAAGCGUAAUAGCUCACUAGUCGAGUCGGCCUGCGCGGAAGAUGUAACGGGGCUCAAACUGGAUACCGAAGCUGCGGCUGCAUACUAUGUAUGCGGGGUAGGGGAGCGUUGUGUAAGUCUGUGAAGGUGUGUUGAGAAGCAUGCUGGAGAUAUCACAAGUGCGAAUGCUGACGUGAGUAACGAUAAUGGGAGUGAAAAACUCCCACGCCGAAAGACCAAGGUUUCCUGCGCAACGCUAAUCGGCGCAGGGUGAGUCGGCCCCUAAGGCGAGGCAGAAAUGCGUAGCUGAUGGGAAACAGGUUAAUAUUCCUGUACUUCUUAUAACUGCGAUGGAGAGACGGAGAAGGCUAUGCCUACCGGGCGUUGGUUGUCCCGGGGAAAGGCUGUAGGCUGAGGUGUUAGGCAAAUCCGGCACCUUAAGGCUGAGAGUCGAGACCACUGGUCCUUUGUGACCGGGAAGUGGUUGAUGCCAUGCUUCCAGGAAAAUCUUCUAAGCUUCAGGUUAUAAGGAACCGUACCCCAAACCGACACAGGUGGUUGGGAUGAGUAUUCUAAGGCGCUUGAGAGAACUCGGGUGAAGGAACUAGGCAAAGUGGUACCGUAACUUCGGGAGAAGGUACGCCGCUGACGGUGAUGAGACUUGCUCUCUGAGCUAUCGGCGGUCGCAGUGAAAAGGCCCCUGCAACUGUUUAUUAAAAACACAGCACUCUGCAAACGCGUAAGCGGACGUAUAGGGUGUGACGCCUGCCCGGUGCCGGAAGGUUAAUUGAUGGGGUUAGCUUCGGCGAAGCUCUUGAUCGAAGCCCCGGUAAACGGCGGCCGUAACUAUAACGGUCCUAAGGUAGCGAAAUUCCUUGUCGGGUAAGUUCCGACCUGCACGAAUGGCGUAAUGAUGGGGGCGCUGUCUCCACCCGAGACUCAGUGAAAUCGAAAUCGCAGUGAAGAUGCUGUGUACCCGCGGCUAGACGGAAAGACCCCGUGAACCUUUACUAUAGCUUCACAGUGGACUUUGAACCUGUUUGUGUAGGAUAGCUGGGAGACUUUGAAGCAGUGACGCUAGUCAUUGUGGAGUCGUCCUUGAAAUACCAGCCUGGCAUGUUUGAGGUUCUAACCUGGGUCCCUUAUCGGGAUCGGGGACAUUGUGUGGUGGGUAGUUUGACUGGGGCGGUCUCCUCCCAAAGAGUAACGGAGGAGCACAAAGGUACCCUCAGCACGGUCGGACAUCGUGCAACGAGCGUAAAGGUAGAAGGGUGCUUGACUGCGAGACUUACAAGUCGAGCAGGUGCGAAAGCAGGUCUUAGUGAUCCGGUGGUUCUGUAUGGAAGGGCCAUCGCUCAACGGAUAAAAGGUACU